GAAUUUUAAUAUGGUUUUAAAGCGUUCAAAAAUUUUCUCUGAUUUGUCGCUGCUGCUGGGAAAGGUCGAUAGGGAUGAAGACUAUCCUGACUUGCAUAUCAGAAAUCAUGUGCUUUUCAUUUUUCUUGCCGGCGUAGAAGGCUUUUUAAGGUUCCAUCAGAAGAUCAAAAAAAGACCACACAGGCAGAUGCAAAUCAACUGAUUAAAGUAGUACAACGUAAGCCUCCUUCCACAUCAAGCCUAGUUAUUUGGAGAAUCUGAUCAUCUUAAUUCUAGUUCUUAUCUUACCAAAAGGCAACUAGACCCACGAAAAUGCCCCAUAAGGGAAAAUCACCACAUAUGUAUCUGAAGAUAGGAAUCUUAUGGCGAGUUGUAGCCCAUGAUAUUUUUUUGAGUGAUGAUCAG
rnacentral:misc_RNA from 1 species